rnacentral:tRNA from 4 species
GGGGACGUAGCUCAGCUGGAUAGAGCAAUUGAUUCCUAAUCAAUAGGUCGGAGGUUCGAAUCCUCUCGUUCCCACCA